GUGGAGCUUUAGAUCUAAAAUAAGUCACGUCUAGUGUACUAUUUCAUCAGUAAAAGCCUAGUGAUUAAAUAUUGAAGUGUCUUUGGUUGGGGCGACCGCGGGGUAAAACACAACCCCCUUGUGGACCGGGGAUAUUAUCCCUAAUACUCAGAGCUUCCACUCCAAGCAACAGAAAUUCUGACCUUAUGAUCCGGUAAGACCGAUCAACGAACCGAGUUACCCCAGGGAUAACAGCGCAAUCCCCUCUCAGAGCCCUUAUCGACGAGGGGGUU
rnacentral:rRNA from 1 species